AGUGAACGCUGGCGGUAGGCCUAACACAUGCAAGUCGAACGGCAGCACAGUAAGAGCUUGCUCUUACGGGUGGCGAGUGGCGGACGGGUGAGGAAUACAUCGGAAUCUACUUUUUCGUGGGGGAUAACGCAGGGAAACUUACGCUAAUACCGCAUACGACCUACGGGUGAAAGCAUGGGACCUUCCGCCCUCGCGUGAUCGAAUGAGCCGAUGUCGGAUUAGCUAGUUGGCGGGGUAAAGGCCCACCAAGGCGACGAUCCGUAGCUGGUCUGAGAGGAUGAUCAGCCACACUGGAACUGAGACACGGUCCAGACUCCUACGGGAGGCAGCAGUGGGGAAUAUUGGACAAUGGGCGCAAGCCUGAUCCAGCCAUACCGCGUGGGUGAAGAAGGCCUUCGGGUUGUAAAGCCCUUUUGUUGGGGAAGAAAAGCAGCAGGUUAAUACCCCGCUGUUCUGACGGUACCCAAAGAAUAAGCACCGGCUAACUUCGUG
rnacentral:rRNA from 1 species